GCAAGAUGCAUACGAUUUUGGAUGAAAUCAUUUCUGGUGGGCAAGUGCUGGAGACUAGUUCCUCUGAAGUGAUGAAGGCUGUUGAAGAAAUAUCCAAGUUAGAAACAGCCUCAAAUUCUAUCAACUUUGUCUCAAAAACAGUUUCUGGUUGGCGGGGUUGAGUUUGCUGUUUUAAGUGAGCUGGUUAAACGAUUCAGCAGGCAUUCUUUGCUAGAUCUGUUGUUGAUUUUGACUGAUUACUCGGAUAGGCAACGACACAUUCACAUCGUUAAUAGACAGAUUUCAGAUGCCUGCUGAGUAGAGAGCAUUUAUCUCGACUGGUUGGUUCUUAAUGGCCAUGAUCCAGCACCUACUUGAUGCUAUUUUGAA
rnacentral:misc_RNA from 1 species